UAACACAACUCUUUACAAACAAUGAUGACAACUUUUUUAUAUUUUAAUUGUGUCUGCAUCUAUCAGAGCUCUGAAUCCAACUUAAGUCUCCUUUUCUUGACUCAUUAUUACACAAUUUAUUGUUUUGUUCUAAAGAGUUGCAGAUAACACUUUGUUUGGACCAUAAGAUACUAAUAUAUAAAAGGAGGAACAUUUAUACAUAGCUGUUCAAAUUGCAUGUCUAGAUUUGAUAUCCUGAGAAAAAUGUACAACUUUAAUUAAAAAUGUGUGAAAUUUCACAUUCAGAGAAAUCAUUAAGGGACGUGAUAGCUAAGUGCAAUACUCCAUCAUAGGCUGGAUACUUUCAGAGUGACUAACUGUUAUGUUUUAUCUUGGACUGAUAUGUUUCCUGGGACACGGGACUUUCAGUGCUAAAACAUGGACAGUCAAUCAGACUGCUCAUACUGGUUCUGGAACACACACACACACACACACACACGCACACACAUACUCACACGAGAAAGAGGAAGGGAGAGAGAGAAUGAAUAAAUUAUAAAGCAAACAGGGCAAGUUAUGACAAGUGAAUUGGUAAAGUGUAUAAGGCUCUUCCUUGAACUAUUUUAUUUGUGCAGCUUUUUGGAAGUUUGAAAUUAAUUUCAAAUUUUAAAAAAUGUUAGGAGGUAAACAAAACAAAAACUCUAUUUAGAUAACAAAUUUUUGAACUAAGUACAAAGUUCUUUUUGGUCUGGCACCUAGAGUUUCUACCCAGACUUGCUCAUGUCCUUUCUUUUUGCCAUCACACCACACUUCGUCUCAGUCCUUUCCCCAUAACACAUUCUUCAGCCUUCAUUCCGUUCCAGAGACAGCCUAUGCACGCUCAUCCUAGUGAGAAUUGCACAUAUUGACCAGGCUGAUUGAAAUACCCUUUCUAAUCCCUUUACUCUGUCUCCCAUUAUCUAGUUAAUUUUGAUUCAAUAUUUAGAUCACAGUUAACUUUUUUGCUUCCUUUAGAGCCUGUGAGAGACAAUACUCCCAGAUUAAAUAGAAUCUUCUUGUUACCAUCUCUUUAUGUGUCAUAUAACACUUAUAACAUUGUUAGCAUUUAUUUUUUGUGAUUACUUGAUGGAUGUCUGCCUCCUCCACUAGACCCUAUGAUUUUAAGUGUCAGAAAUAUGCCAGUAUCCAUUCACCAUUUUAUCUUCUCUGUCCAGAACAGCACCAGACACAUGGAAAGGACUCCACAAAUACUUGUUAAAUGAAUGAAUUCUGAUUCACCUGGCUCGAAAUUUCUUAAGGAAUAAUCAUAUCAUGUUUUUGCUCAGGGAGUGUGGCCACAAUAUCUGGAAAUACUGCUAAAGAAGUAAGAACACAAGUGAAGAUUGAAUUUGAAGAUUAGGGGAUACCUUUUUGUAAACAGUAGAUGAAAAAGGAAUGUAUAGUCAGGGAAUGGAGACACCAUUGAAAUAGAAGAGAUUUCAACAUGCUUCAAUAUAAAAAGAAGAGUUUUCUAGAAAGGUGUGGCUCUAGAUCAGAAAUAUGAGGUCAAGGGAAAUUUAUUUCUCAUCUCACAUGGAGAAUACUAAGAAGUGUUAUAGGAAAGAGAAAAUAAACAUAUGAUGCAAC
rnacentral:lncRNA from 1 species